AUUGAACGCUGGCGGCAUGCCUUACACAUGCAAGUCGAGCGGCAGCGCGGGGCAACCUGGCGGCGAGCGGCGAACGGGUGAGUAAUACAUCGGAACGUACCCAGUUGUGGGGGAUAGCCCGGCGAAAGCCGGAUUAAUACCGCAUACGACCUGAGGGUGAAAGGGGGGGGAUCGCAAGACCUCUCGCAGUUGGAGCGGCCGAUGGCGGAUUAGCUAGUUGGUGAGGUAAAGGCUCACCAAGGCGACGAUCCGUAGCUGGUCUGAGAGGAUGAUCCGCCACACUGGGACUGAGACACGGCCCAGACUCCUACGGGAGGCAGCAGUGGGGAAUUUUGGGACAAUGGGCGAAAGCCUGAUCCAGCCAUGCCGCGUGAGUGAAGAAGGCCUGU
rnacentral:rRNA from 1 species